UACAGAGGUCUCAAGCGUUGUUCGGAUUCAUUGGGCGUAAAGGGUGCGUAGGUGGCGCCGUAAGUCAGGUGUGAAAUUUCGGAGCUUAACUCCGAAACUGCAUUUGAUACUGCGGUGCUUGAGGACUGGAGAGGAGACUGGAAAUUUACGGUGUAGCAGUGAAAUGCGUAGAUAUCGUAAGGAAGACCAGUGGCGAAGGCGGGGUCUCUGGACAGUUCCUGACGCUGAGGCACGAAGGUCAGGGGAGCAAAACGGGA
rnacentral:rRNA from 1 species